GGAGGGCUCGCCUAACGGUAUGGCAGUGGACUUGAAAUCCACCGUCCGCAAGGACUUGCGGGUUCGAAUCCUGCGCCCUCCG
rnacentral:tRNA from 2 species